UUUAGUAUUUUAGUAGUUUCCCCACUUAUGUUGCGAUGUUGUAUUAUAUAUAUAUAUAUAUAUAUUGAUAGAAACAAUUGCUUUCAUUGAGAAAAAAUGAAAGCAUGCCCAAGCCCAAAGGAACAAAUCCCACUCAAGAAAGGUUUCCAACGAAGAAGAAAAUUGUAUGGAGAUACAAUCUCCCAAAGGGAGAGAAGAAAAACAAAAAGAGAAUCAAUAAAAGCAAAAACUGGAACCCGGAGGAGCUUGAAACACAGACCAAUAAAUAAAACAGCUGCAACAAAGAGAGGACUAAAAGGAAGAAAUUGAAGAGCGCUAAAAGUAACCCAAACUAAAAUAGUCUGCAACCCAGAAGAGGCACUAAACCAGCUGGAAGAAUAAAGCUUUCAAAUCAAGUUGGUUGUUGUCGCACAACUCACAGAUGCGGACUUGGGAUGUGGGAUGUUGAUUCAAGUUCUUUUGAGUUAAAUUAUCAUGGGUGGCUGGUGAUCAAAGGAACAAAGAUAUAUGUAUAGAUGUGUUUGAGGUCAUGGGUUCGCUAAAUCUUGAGUAUCUUUUGAGUUUUGGCUAAUUUCACUAAUUUAGUAUUAUUUGAGACUGAUUCAAGUUCUUUUGGGUCAAACUAUUCUGGGUGGGGUGGUGGUAAAUUGUGAAGUCAGGCCAAGAUUGCUUGAACACCUUUGGUUAUAGAAAAAAAAAUUUGUGAA